GUUUUGAUAGUUUAAUAAAAACCUUGGUCUUGUAAUCCAAAAUUAAGAAUAAUCUUUCAAAACU
rnacentral:tRNA from 4 species